UGAGCCGGUCGGGCGGCCGCGGGCGCGAGAGCACCUGAGGAACGUCCGGGCACCACAGGGCAGGAUGAUGGCUAACGGCCACCCGGGGUGACCCGCGGGCUAGUGCCACAGAAAAGAAACCGCCGCCUUCGGGCGGUAAGGGUGAAAAGGUGGGGUAAGAGCCCACCAGCAACGCAGGUGACUGCGUUGGCUCGGUAAACCCCAUUCGGUGCAAGACCAAGCAGCAAGCAGGGCGGCCCGUUCAAUGCUUGCGGGUAGGUUGCGUGAGGUCUGCGGUAACGCAGAUCCAAGAUAGAUGGUCGCCACCGCAGACGCGGUAACGCACUGCGAGACAGAACCCGGCGUACAGACCGACUCAUCCG
rnacentral:RNase_P_RNA from 1 species